GUCAAAAGCCAACUUCACUUAAUUACACAUAUGUCAUAAUGAACAAUAUUUGAUGAUAAUUAAAUAAAAAUGAGCCAAAGGGGAAACCUACAGAUCUUACUGGCAUAUGCAUAAGUUGGAGAGGAAGAUGUAACGAGCUAAAAAAUGAUAGGCAAAUAUCACAUUAUGCUCCCAAAAAUUUUAAAAAAAAAGAAACACAAUUCAACGCUAACAAACUUCAUAAGCAAAGGCAAUUUUUG
rnacentral:misc_RNA from 1 species